UUCAUCACCCAGCUGGAAGCCCAGUCCUGGGCAUCACCACACCGAGUGCAAACCCACCCCAGGGUCUCCCUGGACAAAGCAGACAGACUCCCCAAAGCUGUGACUGAAACAAAAUGCCAAUCGUCUCCCUGGUGCAGGUGUAAAAGAACCACCACUAAACCAUGUCCCCCAGUGCCACAUCUACAUGUCUGUGUUAAGGAAUGGAUUGAUUAUGAAGAGCUGUGUCUGAGGAACAGCCACAAACAGGUUGAGAGCCUGUGGACAAAAAUGGAGGACCAGACCAACAAAGGGCACUUUGUGUUUGGAGUCUGCUACAGGGGCCUGACCAGGGGAGGCUGUUGCACAGCUGGCUGCGAGCAAUCUGGGAGACUCCUGGAGAGUGUCAGCGACAACGUCCUGGUCCAGGUAUUGGAAAAAGAGCCAGAAGAGAAACGUUACUGGACCUGGUGCUCACAUACACAAAUAAAACUCAUCAGAGAAGUU